UACAGAGGUCCCAAGCGUUGUUCGGAUUCAUUGGGCGUAAAGGGUGCGUAGGCGGGGCGGUAAGUCGGGGGUGAAAUCUCGGAGCUUAACUCCGAAACUGCAUUCGAUACUGCCGUGCUUGAGGACUGGAGAGGAGACUGGAAUUUACGGUGUAGCGGUGAAAUGCGUAGAUAUCGUAAGGAAGACCAGUGGCGAAGGCGGGUCUCUGGACAGUUCCUGACGCUGAGGCACGAAGGCCAGGGGAGCAAACGGG
rnacentral:rRNA from 1 species